AUUUGCCAAUCUUCAACACCGUAUAAGGUAAUAUCACAUAAGACCCUAUUUUAUAUCCAGUAUUAUCAGAAAAGUUGAAAACAUGGUGAGAUUACUUUUAUUCACAACGGUAGCGCUUUUAAUACAUAUUUUCGAAACUUCUGAAGCGGAGGCCAGUUUCUUUCUAACUGAAAGAAUGUUUCAACCAGAAAAUCAUCCAGAAACAGAACAAUACGAAAGAUGGUUUACCCAAAAUUUAGACCAUUUUAACCCGAACGAUGAACGGACCUGGCAACAGAGAUAUUUCAUCAAUGAUGAAUUUGCUAGCGGCAAAGGCAAUCUUGCCUUUCUUCUAAUCGGAGGAGAGGCAGAAGCAAGUAGUUAUUUAAUGACCACAGGAUCAUGGAUCACGUACGCUCGCAAAUAUAAACCAAUUUUGUUCCAACUCGAGCACAGAUACUAUGGUAAAAGCCAUCCGACUGAAGAUUUGAGUACUGAGAAUCUUGUAUAUUUAACAAGUCAGCAAGCCUUGAGGGACUUAGCGUUCUUCAUUGAAGCUAUGAACCAAAAAUACAAUCUGACUCGUGAUGUAAAAUGGAUUGUUUUCGGAGGUUCUUAUUCCGGAAACUUGGCUGCCUGGCUACGCCUGAAAUACCCACAUUUGGUACAUGGGGCUAUGUCUGCAAGUGCACCACUUCUCGCCAAAUUGGAUUUUCCAGAAUUCUUAAAAGAUGUAGCACAUUCUAUACGAGCCAACAACAUAGACUGUUUCAUUAUAUUAGAGGAAAGUAGUGACCAAGUUGAUGUUUUGAACAUUGCAGUUGGCCAAAAAAAAUUAACGAAUGGCCAUAAUUAUUUGAAUAUGUACCCCUUCUUCAUGCAAAUAGUAACAAAAAGAGCAACAAUAGAUUUGUGUGAAAAAGUUUGAUAACUCCAUUGAGUCUGAAAUCAACCUUAGGAAGUUAACAUAUUAUGAACUUUUUUCGAAAAUCAAGAAUAUUAGUUGGGAGGCCAAUGAUAAAGGUCUUGGAGGUGCUGGCCACUGCGAGAAUAUGUUUGGUCCAUCAUAUGAUGAUACUCCACCAUUAAUGACAGCUAGAGUCCAAAUAGGAGAACUGAUAGGUACCUGGAUUAACUCGUAAUCUAAUGUUACCCUAAUUUC
rnacentral:misc_RNA from 1 species